UACGGGGGGGGCAAGCGUUGUUCGGAAUUACUGGGCGUAAAGGGCUCGUAGGCGGCCAACUAAGUCAGACGUGAAAUCCCUCGGCUUAACCGGGGAACUGCAUCUGAUACUGGAUGGCUUGAGAUUGGGAGAGGGAUGCGGAAUUCCAGGUGUAGCGGUGAAAUGCGUAGAUAUCUGGAGGAACACCGGUGGCGAAGACGGCAUCCUGGACCAACACUGACGCUGAGGAGCGAAAGCCAGGGGAGCAAACGGG
rnacentral:rRNA from 1 species